GUGAAGUCAGUUGACACAGAGAUGGCAGAGAAGUCAGCUGACAGGAAGAAGGAAGAGAAGUCAGCUGACAUGGAGAAGAAGAGAAGUCAGCUGACAGGAAGAAGGAAGAUAAGUCAGCUGACAUGGAGAAGAAGAAAAGUCAGCUGACAUGGAAAAGGAAGAGAAGUCAGCUGACACAGAGAAGGCAGAGAAGUCAGCUGACAUGGAAAAGGAAGAGAAGUCAUGACACGGAGAAGGCAGAGAAGUCAACUGACACGGAGAAGGAAGAGAAGUCAGCCGACACAGAGAAGGAAGAGAAGUCAGCUGACACGGAGAAGGAAGAGAAGUCAGCUGACACAGAGAAGGAGAAGGAAGUCAGCUGACACAGAGAAGGCAGAGAAGUCAGCUGACAUGGAAAAGGAAGAGAAGUCAGCUGACAGUGAGAAGGAAGAUAAGUCAGUUGACACGGAGAAGGAGGAUAAGUCAGCUGAAAGAAGAGAAGUCAGCUGACACGGAAAAGGAAGAGAAGUCAGCUGACACGGAGAAGGAAGAGAAGUCAGCUGACACGGAGAAGAAGAGAAGUCAGCUGAAACGGAGAAGAAGAGAAGUCAGCUGACACGGAGAAGAAGAGAAGUCAGCUGACAGGGAGAAGGAAGAUAAGUCAGCUGACACGGAGAAGAAGAGAAGUCAGCUGACAGGGAGAAGGAAGAGAUGUCAGCUGAUGCGGAGAAGGAAGACAAGUCAGCUGACACGGAAAAGGAAGAGAAGUCAGCUGACACAGAGAAGGCAGAGAAGUCAGCUGAAACGGAGAAGGAAGAGAAGUCAGCUGAGACGGAGAAGAAGAGAAGUCAGCUGACACGGAGAAGAAGAGAAGUCAGCUGACAGGAAGAACGAAGAUAAGUCAGCUGACACGGAGAAGAAGAGAAGUCAGCUGACAUGGAAAAGGAAGAGAAGUCAGCUGACACGGAGAAGGAAGAGAAGUCAGCUGUCACUGAGAAGGCAGAGAAGUCAGCUGACAUGGAGAAGGAAGAGAAGUCAGCUGACACGGAGAAGGAAGAGAAGUCAGCUGACACAGAGAAGGCAGAGAAGUCAGCUGACAGGGAGAAGGAAGAGAAGUCAGCUGACACGGAGAAGAAGAGAAGUCAUCCAACACGGAGAAGGAAGAGAAGUCAGCUGACAGGAAGAAGGAAGAUAAGUCAGCUGACAUGGAGAAGGAAGAGAAGUCAGCUGACACGGAGAAGAAGAGAAGUCAGCUGACAUGGAAAAGGAAGAGAAGUCAGCUGACACAGAGAAGGAAGAGAAGUCAGCUGACACUGAGAAGGAAGAGAAGUCAGCUGACAGGAAGAAGGAAGAGAAGUCAGCUGACAUGGAGAAGAAGAGAAGUCAGCUGACAGGAAGAAGGAAGAUAAGUCAGCUGACAUGGAGAAGAAGAAAAGUCAGCUGACAUGGAAAAGGAAGAGAAGUCAGCUGACACAGAGAAGGCAGAGAAGUCAGCUGUCAUGGAAAAGGAAGAGAAGUCAGCUGACAGUGAGAAGGAAGAUAAGUCAGCUGACACGGAGAAGGGGAUAAGUCAGCUGAAAGAAGAGAAGUCAGCUGACACGGAAAAGGAAGAGACGUCAGCUGACAUGGAGAAGGAAGACAAUUCAGCUGACAGGGAGAAGGAAGAGAAGUCAGCUGACAUGGAGAAGGAGGUGAAGUCAGCUGGCACGGAGAAGGAGGUGAAGUCAGUUGACACAGAGAAGGCAGAGAAGUCAGCUGACACAGAGAAGGCAGAGAAGUCAGCUGACAUGGAGAAGGAAGAGAAGUCAGCUGACAAAAAGAAGGCAGAGAAGUCAGCUGACAUGGAGAAGGAAGAGAAGUCAGCUGACACGGAGAAGAAGAGAAGUCAGCUGACAUGGAAAAGGAAGAGAAGUCAGCUGACACGGAGAAGGAAGAGAAGUCAGCUGACA
rnacentral:lncRNA from 1 species